UAGGCAUCACUCUGCAAGGUGUUUAAAAAGAAAAACAGGUUUACCCAGGAUUUAUCAUGUGUGGAAAAAUGUAAUAUCUAAGUAGGCUGUCUGCUAAUGUCUGGCAUAAUGUUUCUUCAUAAUGGUUAACCCUUUUGCAGGGAGUGGAAUAAUGCAAAGAGUGCCUCUCUCUCUAGAUGGGAACUUUGCUUCAUGGGACAUUACAAUCUAUCUCUGACUCAUGUGCUCUGCUAAAUAUUCAGCACUGGCAAUGUUUGGACUACAGAAAUGGAAUUUAGCCAAAUGAAGAAAUUAAAUAUAGUAUCUCCAAAAAGAAUCACGGAUAUUCCUUAAUUUUGAACCAAGAAGAUGAAACACAAUAGAAGAUAAGCUUUCCAUAUAUGGUCACCAUGGCAGUGCCUUGAAGAUCACAAGAGUGGUGGAAUGGAGCCUUGCUUCAUA